UGCCUCAGUAACGGCGAGUGAAGCGGCAAUAGCUCAAAUUUGAAAUCUGGCUCUUUCAGAGUCCGAGUUGUAAUUUGUAGAGGAUGCUUCGGCUUACGUUUCGGUCUAAGUUCCUUGGAACAGGACGUCACAGAGGGUGAGAAUCCCGUUUGUGGCCGAGACUUCCGCCAUGUGAAGCUCCUUCGACGAGUCGAGUUGUUUGGGAAUGCAGCUCUAAAUGGGAGGUAUAUUUCUUCUAAAGCUAAAUACCGGCCAGAGACCGAUAGCGCACAAGUAGAGUGAUCGAAAGAUGAAAAGCACUUUGGAAAGAGAGUUAAAAAGUACGUGAAAUUGUUGAAAGGGAAGCGCUUGCGACCAGACUUGCCCGCGGAUGCUCAACCGGUCCUUCGGCCGGUGCACUCUUCCGCGGUCAGGCCAGCAUCAGUUCGAGCGGUCGGAUAAAGGCCUUGGGAAUGUGGCUCUCUUCGGGGAGUGUUAUAGCCCUUGGUGUAAUACGGCCCGCCUGGACUGAGGCCCGCGCUUCGGCUAGGAUGCUGGCGUAAUGGUCGUAAGCGGCCCGUCUUGAAACACGGACCAAGGAGUCUAACAUCUAUGCGAGUGUUUGGGUGUCAAACCCGUGCGCGAAAUGAAAGUGAACGGAGGUGGGAACCUUAGGGUGCACCAUCGACCGAUCCUGAUGUCUUCGGAUGGAUUUGAGUAAGAGCAUAGCUGUUGGGACCCGAAAGAUGGUGAACUAUGCCUGAAUAGGGUGAAGCCAGAGGAAACUCUGGUGGAGGCUCGCAGCGGUUCUGACGUGCAAAUCGAUCGUCAAAUUUGGGUAUAGGGGCGAAAGACUAAUCGAACCAUCUAGUAGCUGGUUCCUGCCGAAGUUCCCUCAGGAUAGCAGUGACGUUUUCAGUUUAUGAGGAAAGCGAAUGAUUAAGGCCUUG
rnacentral:rRNA from 1 species